GCAUAUUAAACUGGUGUUCUCUAAGAACAAAUAGAACAGAGAAGAAAUAUCACCUGGUCACUGAGGCUACAACCAAGACGUGUGUGUGGCCAGGCACAGCCUAGCUGCCAUCUCUGUAACACAGAUGAGGUUAAUCCUGCUGGCAAGAAGGAAAGGUGUAAGCCAACAGCAGCGUGACAGCUUUCUGGUGAGCUGGAACUGCAGCAGGGAACAGUGACAGCUUCUGGAAAAGGGUGCUCGAGUACUUUGCCUGGGAGGUGCAGGGACCAGAAUGGCACCAUGGCCAUGUGCCCCUGCCUGGCUUGAAGGAUGCAGCUUCACAGGCCCCUGCAAGCUCCUGGGGGCAGGCCAGCGAGAAGGAUGCAGCACUGAUCAGGGGGACCUGUGUUGCACAGCUGGCAGGAAGCGAACCCUGGGGAUCUGUGGUAGGGGUGAAGCUGUCGCUGUUUCACACCUUCCUGCUGGGGAGAACUCCCCUAUGGGGUUCUGCUCUUCAGGAGCUGGUGCAGGAACAUGUGGGAUGCACCAGCAGAGCAGGGUCGGUCUGGUUGUCCGAGAGCGGUGCCCUGGCCCAGCUCUAUGGCACGGCCAGGGGGCUACACCUGGUGGGAAGGGGCUUACCCCUAAGGGCCUGAGGACAAGGAGAUAAUUCUGGCACAGCUCCCCGUAUGUGCUUGUUCACAGCCUGAUAAGAGCCAUGGGAAGAGCUGUUUGUGCUUGCCUCGUUCAGUAUGUCUUUUCUCUGUGCAUCUGGUGGGGGAGAUGGGGCACAAGAGAGCCCAGCCUGGCGUGGCCAGGCCCUUCCUGUUGUAUUCUCCCAUCCCCGGCCUGCGGGUGUGCGAUUUGCCUGCGGCACCAAGCGCAGGUGGCUUUUGAGAGCGGAAAGGUGCUGAGUACAUACUCCCUGUUAUUUAUCAUCCCAUUUGCUAUGUCUGAGGGGGGCAUGUGGGCAGUGGGAGAGCAGGGUGUGAAGGAACGAAGGGCACUUCUGAGCUGCGGCUGUUUAUCACCGUUACAGAGAUCCUCUGGUACAGCAGCCAGACAGGCACGCACACUCCCCCAGCCUCCUGAUCACAUUAUUAUAUUACACCUGACGUUCCUUUUUUUUCUUUUCUUUUCACUAAUAUGUUAUUUUUGGCCUGACAGCUUUACGAAGGAGAAAAGAGAAAUAGAGAGUGAGACACGCACCCGGACAGACACAGACAGUAUUCAUUCCUUAUCAGCGAGGAAGGGGUCUGACUCAGACAAACAAGACUUGCUGAUUGAAACAUCUUGCUGUCUCCAGCAGCUCCCUCUGCCACCAAAGGGAGGUCCCCAGUCUGCAGAGGUGCACUCUGCUCCCAGCCUGCUCUGGCGCAGUCUGCAGGCCAGUCUGCCGCAGGGAUUGCCCAGCAGAAGUCUGAGCAGCGUUGGUUUGCCCGUGUUUGACAGAACCAGUGUGCAAGUGUGCUUGCUUCCUGACCCCUGCUUAUCUCUAUUGCCCUCCUGCUUUCUGCUUCUGUCCCAUCAACACUAA
rnacentral:lncRNA from 1 species